rnacentral:rRNA from 1 species
UACGGAGGGGGCUAGCGUUGUUCGGAUUUACUGGGCGUAAAGGGCGCGUAGGCGGUCAGCACAAGUCAGUUGUGAAAUCUCCGGGCUUAACUCGGAAAGGUCAACUGAUACUGUGCGACUAGAGUGCGGAAGGGGCAACUGGAAUUCUCGGUGUAGCGGUGAAAUGCGUAGAUAUCGAGAGGAACACCUGCGGCGAAGGCGGGUUGCUGGGCCGACACUGACGCUGAUGCGCGAAAGCCAGGGGAGCGAACGGG